rnacentral:rRNA from 1 species
CCCUUAGAUGUUCUGGGCCGCACGCGCGCUACACUGAUGCAUUCAACGAGUCUAAAACCUGCUCUGAUAGGGGUGGGUAAUCUUUUGAAUGUGCAUCGUGAUUGGGAUAGAUGAUUGCAAUUUUUCAUCUUCAACGAGGAAUGCCUAGUAAACGCAAGUCAUCAGCUUGCAUUGAUUACGUCCCUGCCCUUUGUACACACCGCCCGUCGCUCCUACCGAUUGAAUGAUCCGAUGAAUAUCAUGGAUUGAGGAUUAUAGCAGGUUCGCCUGUCUUGAUCUUCGAGAAGUGAAGUAAAUCUUAGCAUUUAGAGGAAGGAGAAGUCGUAACA